CCCCGCCUCACCCACCUACAACGCUGGCCCGAACAGAGCACCGUGUGUAGGGCACAGUGGGACGACCUCAGGGCCUCCUAAUAAGCAACAGCAGCCAUGGAGCCGGACCUCUGAAGAGAUCCAGCAACAAUGAUUGUAUAAUGAAAUGGAAACGACAGCAAAACUUGAGCUCAGCUACCAAACGGCAGCGCCGUGAGGGGAAGGCUUGUCCGAACUCAUUAGGGUUUCUGUAUGUGUCUCUCUUCUUUUUUUGCAGGCAUUCCCACUUCUGAUCGGACUGAUGUUUUUCAGUGAGGUGCUUCGAACCUGGCAGGCUCAGUAUAUGCGGUGUGCGAUUGGACGGUGGAAAUACCCAAACCUGCCUGGGCCCCUUAUCAUGUACAGCACACAAAUUACGCAAAGCAGCAUCCAUCUGCCGCACAAAUAGAGCUCCAACCCGAACCGGCGCUCUUCCAUUGUUCUGGCCGUUCGCCGCCCCUCCCGGGGUAAUUCAUGUGCCCCGCUACUCUGCUCACCCGUCACUGGCUAUUCACUUAAACCUGAAACAUUUCCAUGGGCACAAAGGCUUCAAACAUGGCCGUGACAAAAGAAAGGAUUUCUGCGUUUCUAUUCUUUUCCUCCUCUCUGUCUUUCUCCUUUCUUCAAGACAUUGUGUUGUUUAAUUGGUUGUGCUUGGUAAUUUUGUCUCUUGUCUUCUCCCAUACUGAGUGAUUGUGCGGGGACGGACGUUUGCUUUGACUGGAUCGGACAGGAGCGGGCUCCCUCCCGUAUGCUGGGAGCCGUCUACCUUUGUUAGGUACACGGAGUUCGGUUCGGGCUCCGUGUGUGGUAAGGUUUGGGAAUCCUGCACGGAUGUCGUGGGAAUGCCGAGGAAACGUCCCUCCUCAUGCCGCUGAAUGACUGAGAUGACCCCUCAGUGACGUGCUCAAUGAAUUCAUAUCUCCGGUCUUGCUGUGCUGGGCUUCUGGCUGAAAGAGCAUCAAGGUUAACAGUCUAUGGAGAGAGUGGAAAAGGAGGAGAGGACGAAGAAGAGAUGUGUAAUACCCCCAUCUGCCUCACAGGGGUGCCAUAGACCUAUGAUCAAACCAAGCACUCUCGUAUUGUACAACCUAACAAGCAGCAGUCUUAAAGGACAGAAACAAUUGCACAGUGUACACAGAGACUGAGGCAUCAUCAGAGAGGAAGAGGGAGGGACCGCCGAUGUAGAGGUAUGAUGACGGACGGCUGGAGACUGCGGAAAAGAGAAAGACUGAGAGAAAGAGGUGUGGUUAGGUGGACUGCAUUGUUAGAAGCAGAAUAAAUCAGUCUGGUCAGUCUCUGCAGGGCUUCACCGUUCUGGG